ACAUCCCUCUCAUGCAAGGUUCCAGUGACUAUCAAGACAACAUUGUCAAUCAUGUGGCCAUAUGUGCAAUACUCUAGGAAGAUGGAUAAGGGCUCCGUUGCUUGACAUAACAUGUGCUUGUACUCAUCAACAAGUUUAAGGGUGCAUUUUUCCACAAUUGUAGUGGUAUGCAAUGGAGAAGGCUCGUUCUGAAGGUAGGGACCGUACUCGGUAGCAGUGAGGUGCAUCUUAAUAUCAUCAAGGGUUUCACACUGGCAUAGAUUGUUAUAAUCGGCGGCGGUGAGAAGGCCUGAUCUGUGUCCCCUGACGAUCGCCUCCAGGUAGCCUCCGUGAAUGUUGAAAGUUAGAGCCUCGAAACCGUACAUUUUCAACACACAGAAUUA
rnacentral:misc_RNA from 1 species